GCUGGCUCGCGUCGCCGGCGCUGCCACCCUCCUCCCCCGGCUGACACGAAGCGCCUCUCCGUGGGAAGGCCGUGCCCUGCUAGGCCAGCUCUGGGGACAGUUGAGGGCUUGGUGCGCCCUCGGCCAUCCCACGCCCAAGCCGCAGCACCGCGUCCCCGCCGGCCGAAGCGCUGCAGGAAGGGGCUCAAUGCAGAGCCCCAGGAAAAAAUGGGAGUUCAGUGUGCAAGGUCGGGUCUAGAAACGCUUCACCGGAAGGAAACCGGUCGUUUGUAUGCGAAAAGGAGCCCCCGGACGCACAGAGGCAGAACCACCCCAAACACUGAGGGUUGCAUUCAGUUCCCGUCAGACACGACGACCCCAGACGACUUACAAUCAGAUAACAGCCUCGCCUCAACGACCAGCGCGAUCAUCAGCAUUAAUGUCCUCAUAUUUACGCCACACUCUCCACGCGUCACCCGAAAUACUUUGGGGGGGGGUGGUAAUGUUUGCUGGCAUAAAUGAAAGACCGGUGUGUUCGGCCAUUUUUUAAUCACUUUGUUUUGAGUUCAGAAGGAAAUAAGCAUGCUUGACUAUCUGGAAUGACCAGAAACCCGACUCCUCUGCAAGAAAAUGGUGUAACAAAAUACACUUUUCAGAAGGU